rnacentral:rRNA from 1 species
AUUGAACGCUGGCGGCAUGCUUUACACAUGCAAGUCGAACGGUAACAGGCCGCAAGGUGCUGACGAGUGGCGCGCGGGUGAGUAAUGCAUCGGAACGUGCCCAGUCGUGGGGGAUAACUACUCGAAAGAGUAGCUAAUACCGCAUACGAUCUAUGGAUGAAAGCGGGGGACCGUAAGGCCUCGCGCGAUUGGAGCGGCCGAUGUCAGAUUAGGUAGUUGGUGGGGUAAAGGCUCACCAAGCCAACGAUCUGUAGCUGGUCUGAGAGGACGACCAGCCACACUGGGACUGAGACACGGCCCAGACUCCUACGGGAGGCAGCAGUGGGGAAUUUUGGACAAUGGGCGCAAGCCUGAUCCAGCAAUGCCGCGUGCAGGAAGAAGGCCUUCGGGUUGUAAACUGCUUUUGUACGGAACGAAACGGCUCUGGUUAAUACCCGGGGCUAAUGACGGUACCGUAAGAAUAAGCACCGGCUAACUACGUG